rnacentral:rRNA from 1 species
GACGAACGUUGGCGGCGUGCCUAAUACAUGCAAGUCAACUGAAAUACCGGUAGCAAUACUGGUAUGGAGGUGGCGCACGGGUGAGUAACACGUAGGUAAUCUGCCUUCAGGUCUGACAUAACCCAUCGAAAGGUGAGCUAAUAUCAGAUGAUGCAGCGGCUUGACAUCAAGACAGUUGUUAAAGCUUCGGCGCCUGAAGAUGAGCCUGCGUCUGAUUAGCUAGUUGGCGGGGUAACGGCCCACCAAGGCUGCGAUCAGUAGCUGGUCUGAGAGGAUGAUCAGUCACACUGGAACUGAGACACGGUCCAGACUCCGUACGGGAGCAGCAGUAAGGAAUAUUGCUCAAUGGCCGAAAGGCUAGAAGCAGCAACGCCGCGUGAGGGAU